rnacentral:rRNA from 1 species
AACGAACGCUGGCGGCAUGCCUAACACAUGCAAGUCGAACGAGACCUUCGGGUCUAGUGGCGCACGGGUGCGUAACGCGUGGGAACCUGCCCUUAGGUUCGGAAUAACUCCCCGAAAGGGGUGCUAAUACCGGAUAAUGUCUUCGGACCAAAGAUUUAUCGCCUUUGGAUGGGCCCGCGUUGGAUUAGCUAGUUGGUAGGGUAAAAGCCUACCAAGGCGACGAUCCAUAGCUGGUCUGAGAGGAUGAUCAGCCACACUGGGACUGAGACACGGCCCAGACUCCUACGGGAGGCAGCAGUGGGGAAUAUUGGACGAUGGGCGAAAGCCUGAUCCAGCAAUGCUGCGUGAGUGAUGAAGGCCUUAGGGUUGUAAAGCUCUUUUACCCGGGAUGAUAAUGACAGUACCGGGAGAAUAAGCUCCGGCUAACUCCGUG